rnacentral:lncRNA from 1 species
UCGUGCCAAAAAGGGCCGCGGCCACGUGCAGCCUAUUCGCUGCACUAACUGUGCCCGAUGCGUGCCCAAGGACAAGGCCAUUAAGAAAUUCGUCAUUCGAAACAUAGUGGAGGCCGCAGCAGUCAGGGACAUUUCUGAAGCGAGCGUCUUCGAUGCUAUGUGCUUCCCAAGCUGUAUGUGAAGCUACAUUACUGUGUGAGUUGUGCAAUUCACAGCAAAGUAGUCAGGAAUCGAUCUCGUGAAGCCCGCAAGGACCGAACACCCCCACCCCGAUUUAGACCUGCGGUGCUGCCCCACGUCCCCCACCAAAGCCCAUGUAAGGAGCUGAGUUCUUAAAGACUGAAGACAGGCUAUUCUCUGGAGAAAAAUAAAAUGGAAAUUGUACUUAAUAUUGCAUGUUAAGUGUAUCU